rnacentral:rRNA from 1 species
UACGUGAGGGGCGAACGUUGUUCGGUGUCACUGGGCUUAAAGGGUGCGUAGGUGGUUGCGUAAGUAAGGUGUGAAAUCCCUCGGCUUACCCGGGGAAUUGCAUUUUAUACUGCGUGGCUUGAGGACUAAAGGGGAAAGGAACUCCAGGUGUAGCGGUAGAAAUGCGCAGAUAUCUGGGGGAAGGCCGGCGGCGAAGGCGCUUUUCUGGUUAGUACCUGACACUGAGGCACGAAAGCGUGGGGAGCAAACAGG